GACGAACGCUGGCGGCGUGCCUAAUACAUGCAAGUCGAACGCAGUGGGGACGGGUGAGUAACACGUGGGUAACCUCCCAUCAGAGGGGAUAACACUUGGAAACAGGUGCUAAACCGAUACUGAUGGAUGGACCCGCGUUGCAUUAGCUAGUUGGGUAGGUAACGGCUCACCAAGGCCACGAUGCAUAGGCGACCUGAGAGGGGGAUCGGCCAACAUGGGACUGAGACACGGCCCAGACUCGUACGGGAGGCAGCAGUAGGGAAUCUUCGGCAAGGGACGAAAGUCUGACCGGGCAACGCCGCGUGAGUGAAGAAGGUUUUCGGAUCGUAAAACUAUGUUGUUAGAGAAGCGGUAUCUAACCAGAAAGCCACGGCUAACUACGUGCCAGCAGCCGCGGUAAUUC
rnacentral:rRNA from 1 species